rnacentral:rRNA from 1 species
GGUAUGGGAUGAGCUUGCGUCCGAUUAGCUAGUUGGCGGGGCAACGGCCCACCAAGGCGACGAUCGGUAGCCGGCCUGAGAGGGUGAUCGGCCACAUUGGGACUGAGAUACGGCCCAGACUCCUACGGGAGGCAGCAGUAGGGAAUAUUGCACAAUGGGGGAAACCCUGAUGCAGCAACGCCACGUGUGGGAAGAAGCAUUUCGGUGUGUAAACCACUGUCGUGAGGGAAUAAUACGCGGUUUCGGCCGCGGGGGAAUGUACCUCGAAAGGAAGCACCGGCAAACUUCGUGCCAGCAGCCGCGGUAAUACGAGGGGUGCAAGCGUUGUUCGGAAUCACUGGGCGUAAAGGGAGCGUAGGCGGAUGUUCAAGCGGAUUGUACAAUACUGGGGCCCAACCCCGGACCUGCAGUCCGAACUGGACAUCUUGGAUAGUUCAGGGGCAGGC